rnacentral:misc_RNA from 1 species
UAGAAGUUGUGUAAAAUAGGGAUUGUUAAUCUUAAACCUUAAAGUAUCGUAGGUCACACACAGCUCAUUAAUGCCAUAAAAUGACAGUAGAGUUUUCAUAUCAGCUUAGAUUGUGGCGAUAUGAAUGUGACAACACCAUCAACACAUCAGGUUUUUUUAUAACAUUUUCCAGCAACCGCGACGAGAUAGCAAAUUUUAACUGAUGUAUUUUAGAUUUCAACUGAAUUUCAUCUUUCAAAAUAAUUAAUACAGUAUCAAAAUAUUAUCACUAACUAAAACGCACAUACUAAUAAAAAGGCAAAGAAAUACUUCCAUGUGCAAUAAAGUAGGUUGGUACCCCUGAGAUACGUGUACAGGUCCCGUACGGGAUCGGUGAAGGUGGCUCACUGCCGAGAGACAAGUGCGCAUUUGCUCCUCCACUCUGCUAUCAGCCUACAUAGACAUAACAAUACUUUACUCCAGCAACUUUGGCACAAACCAUCAAGGACCGCCUUUGAAGGAAGAAGCCUGUAAAUUUCCUCGUGGAAAUAUGAACAAAAGAGGAUGUCGGUCAGAUAUUAAUUUGGCCACACAAAACUGUCCAGUACCUGAAAUGAGACCUCAAGUUCUACAGGAGUAUCAUGGAUCUGGACAACCUUUUGGACAUCAUAUUAGUUACGGAAAUACUCCUCCAUUGUAUGCGCCACCACAAGGCCAUAUCGAUGGUUCAAACUAUGAUGUCCCGUCUCGCUAUCAAAUUCCGAGGAAUAUGGGGCGUUGCAGUCCACCGCCUGCUUACCAAGAAGUAGAUGGAAUGAAUAGAGAGAGAAUUUCUUCAAUAGUGAAAGCCCUUGCACUGUUAAAUGGCCAAUGGGCUACUGCAGAAAACAUUGGGAAGCUUGCUGAGUGUGACAAAAAUACAGUUGAAAAAGUUGUGAAGGCUAAUAGAAAUUUGUUUUCUGCAAUGAAUGAUGGGAAACAAGUUGUGAUUGAACUUGUUCCCAAAAUCGGUAUUUGCAUGGCUUACCUAUCAGAUGACGGCUGUAAAUCGCAAAUUGCUUGCGAAGAUAUUCACAUCUGUAAGCAUUUCAUAUUUAAUAGGUGCACUUCAGGAUCUGGAUGUCACUUUGGCCAUAAAUGGGAUACAAGUCACAACGGCCACGUCCUUUCAAAGUUGUACCUUGACAGGAUUGAUAAAAGUGUCCUUCAUCAGGUUAUGAAGAAAAUUUGCAAGGGGAUUUUGCCUCCACAAAUCUGUAGUUACUAUAACUCAAAGAGUAGCUGCAAAUAUGGGGGGAAAUGUGGACAACUGCAUAUAUGUAAACAGUUUGUUUUGAGUGCAGGGAAAUGUUUCUGCAGUUCUUACAACCAUGAUAUUUUAACACCACAUUGCAAAAGGAUUCUUAAAAAUCAUGAUCUAUCUGUCAACGAGUCUCCUCGUGAUAUCAUUAUGUCCCUGAAAGCAGUAAUAACAAAGGAAGACAAUAUAGAAACACAAAAUAUAAAUGCAAGUGACACACAGGCAGCAGCUGAAAAUAGCAAAGGUGAAAAAAAGCUACGAGACACCGAAAGCAAUGCAACAGAAAGAAAAAAAAUAGGUAAAACAAAAAACACCCCUGCCAAGAACACAGAAAAGGAAAGUAACAAGGAGAGACCAAAAGAAGAUGAACCUCAAAAAGGAAAGAAAACAUGCUGGUCAACUGAUGUUUUGGGGGAUGUUAAGAUACCAGAAAUAUGUCUAUUUAGCAUUAAUGACAGGUGCAGAAAUGAAAAGAAAGGCUGUGAUUACCUCCAUGCCAAAUCACUCUUUCACUGGCAAGCUAAAAAGAAUCAACACUGGUAUAACUUGCGCAUUUUUCAGUCAAAGAUGCUUGAAAGUGCUUACCGUGAUGUUUCCAAAGGCACUGUCACAAUAAGCCCCUUAAAUGAUAGUAAGCUUAAUGACAGUGCCAGAGAAUUGUUGUCAGUUUUUGGAACUCGAUCAUGGACAGCAGAUUUUCAGGCAAUGACCAUCAAAAGUUCAGAUCAGAAGAAACUUGCAAUAAGAAGAAUUUCAACUAAAUCAGCAGCAGAAUCUACCAGUCCCAAAGCUACUGUAUAUAGAUGGUAUUUCAUAGAUGAUCAAGCUAAUUGGAUUCCAUAUGGGGAUGUAGACAGUCUUGGCAAGCAAGAGUUUAUAUGCGCUGUUACGAGUGAAGAAAUCGAGAAACAAUUUAUAUCUGACUUCUUAUCCUGCAUGGAAAUAUCAAAUUCAAAAUUCAAGUAUAAAUUAGAUUUUUCGAAGAUGCGGCAAAUUAAUUUAAAUACAGGAAAAGAGAGGGAGAUACGUCGUCGACCUGCACACCUUUCCUACCAGAAGAGGUGUGAAUCAGACCAAGAAGCCACUCUCCCAAGCCACUGGAACCCCAUGCCAAGCAACCAAACACACUCCCUCCAGCACCUUGAUGCCAGCAGCUCUGAAUACCUAGAUAUUGCCAGACUAGUCCGGAUGACAUUACCAACUCUGAAUAUAGUCCGUAUACAGAGAUUACAGAACCCAUAUCUAUGGAGACUUUUCCAGUACAAGAUCGCACAUUUGAGUUGCAGCUUUAAUGAAAACCAAAUGAACGUACAGAAACUCUUCCAUGCUGUAGAUCCUUUACAUAUUGAUACUAUCUGCAAGGAAAACUUCGAUUGGAGACAAGCUAAAACAACGACACAGAAAUUUGGGAGAGGAGCCUAUUUCUCGAACCGGGCUUGUGUAACUCGGAAUUCUUGCACCCCAAAUCGAGAGGGCCGUUUCUUCCUAUUUGUCGCUCAAGUUAUUGUUGGUGAUGUCGAAAAAGGAUCGCCAGAACUUACUCGCCCUCCAUUCAACGCAGCCACGAACACUCUGUAUGACACUACUGUAGAUGAUGUGCACAACACAACCAUUUUUGUCAAUUUUCAGUCUCUUUUAUUUGCUGAUACUACCAUUAUGAUAUAUCAACGAGAAAGAGGUUGAUACUACCAUUAUGACACAUUAACGAAAAUGAGGUUGUGAGGAUCGCGUGCAACCAGAUGUGAAGGGACGCUGCCAUCACCUGAUGUGAACGAGGCGGAUGGUCUUUAGAGCGGGCAAGGAAAGGUGUCUUGACUGGUUUUAUUGCAGUUUGGACAACACUGACUCAAAGGACCAUAGAUAUUACCCGCCUAUGAGAAUUCAGUGGAAAUUGAAUCCUAAGUCGGAUAUACUGAUGUACAUUCAUAAAAAAAGGACUAAUACUGUGCCGCAUUGCUAUAGAUAAACCUCUCUGACCAGGACUCGGAUCAGGACCCCUUCCAGUUAUGACCCAGAGGGCCAGUUGUAAAGCAACCAUAGCACACAAUCCAAGAAAAAGAGUGAGCAACUAUAGUUAUUUCCUAUCUACUCAUGUUAGAGUAAUGAUAGUGAAGUUUUCCACACUCCCCGUGAACACUUGAUGAAAAUUGAUUUUAGCAGUUCAAUUCAGUUCAACGAACAUCGCCAGAAGAACGCCGCAUGCCAAAGGACCAGGACUCGCGACUGUAGGCAUUAAGCCGCCCUGAUGAAAUGGACGGGCGCCGCCUGCCAGGACCCCUGUAGAUCCAGUGAAGAACCAGGAACUCGUCAGAGCAGGCCCCAAGAUGCUAUGGAAAGCCGCCUGCCUUGACGUCUGUAGAUCGGUCAAACUCCAGGAGCUCCCCAGCGCAGGAAUGUCACCCUCAGACGAAAGGACGCCCCUGCCCGGACGCCUGUAGACCCAGACGCAGGCUACGAGGACGUCGGUACGAGCCGCAGCCGAGAAGGACCUGGGCGAAUCUGCGAGGAUGUGUGGACGAAGAUGCUGCCGAGUACCACCUGGUGGAGGACUAUGAGGACGACUGAACGACCCAAAGUCAAGGAGGACCUAGGCGAAACGAGGACGUGUGGACAUCGAUGACGGAUGGAUGCACCAAGGACCAAGAUGAAGAGGCUGACAACGAGGAGAUACACAAGGACGACCGAAAACAAGAACGCGACAAGAUGAGCAGCAGAUUGGGUACGAAGCUAGAUCACCCUUGAAGUAAUUCAGAUGACGCUACGAGGACGAGGCUUGUGUAGGUGGCCGUGCAAUAUAGGAAGCUAUAUUCACAUGGCUUGGUACAACACGUGGAAGGAUCUUCGUAGGCACCCACACUGGCACCCUCGCUGUCUGCUCCACCCUACCCGUGGGACGCACGGACUGCUUGCCAGAUAUAAGGCCAGAUAUAAGGGAGGCUGAUUUUGACCCAUUCUUACACCUCGACGAUCCUGCCCCUAACCCGGGUGGGUGACUCACUCCCGGUCGCCUGCCCCACCAGGGCGUGGGGGCUGCUCCACUCAUACACUCAGCACUGAGCGCCAGCCUCCGUAUCUCGUAUCACGUGUUAUCAAUAAAGUGUGAAGCUACA